CCCUAGAAGAGCUCGUUAGGUCUCGUCGUCGUCGUCGUCGCCAUUAACGAUGGAGAAGCGGAGAGAGGCGAAGAGGAAAAAGUUCCACGAGGCGCUCCUCAAUCUCUACCACCCCCCACCUCCUCCUCGCAGACGGGAAUUAUGCGAGAAAGGAAAGCUCGUCGAGCAGUGAAAGUGAUUGUGGUUCGAAGACACUCACAAGGGCUCAGAGGAAGAUAGAGAGGUCAAUGGAGGAAGAGGAUUCGGAAAAGGAAGCUGAACUGCUGAAGGAAGGGGCGACAGUUAGCUAGAAGAAAAGUUAUUGGACCUUUAUUCAUUUAAAAAAAAAAAAAAAACAGAAGUUGCGGGGGUGUGAAUAAAAAAAAAA